CGUGUAGGCGGUACGUUAAGUCGAGUGUGAAAGCCCUGGGCUCAACCCAGGACGUGCGCUCGAUACUGGCGAACUUGAGUACGGGAGAGGGUAGCGGAAUUCCCGGUGUAGAGGUGAAAUUCGUAGAUAUCGGGAGGAACACCAGUGGCGAAGGCGGCUACCUGGACCGAUACUGACGCUGAGACGCGAAAGCGUGGGUAGCAAACAGGAUUAGAUACCCUGGUAGUCC
rnacentral:rRNA from 1 species